rfam:Blumeria graminis f. sp. hordei DH14, WGS project CATH01000000 data, contig: 005526
GUCACGAUGCCAGAGUGGUUAAUGGGUUAGACUUGAAUAGCCGUGAGCGUGAGAGACAUCUAAUGGCUUCGGCCGCGUAGGUUCAAGUCCUGCUCGUGACG